AUUGAACGCUGGCGGCAGGCCUAACACAUGCAAGUCGAACGAGUGGCGGACGGGUGAGUAAUGUCUGGGAAACUGCCCUGGGGAGGGGUAUAACUACUAGACGGGGUAUCUAAUACCGCAUAAUAGCGGAUGUGCCCAGAGGGGAUUAGCGAGUAGGUGGGGUAACGGCUCACCUAGGCGACGAUCCCGAGCUGGUCUGAGAGGAUGACCAGCCACACUGGAACUGAGACACGGUCCAGACUCCUACGGGAGGCAGCAGUGGGGAAUAUUGCACAAUGGGCGCAAGCCUGAUGCAGCCAUGCCGCGUGUAUGAAGAAGGCCUUCGGGUUGUAAAGUACUUUCAGCGAGGAGGCGUUACUCGCAGAAGAAGCACCGGCUAACUCCGUGCCAGCAGCCGCGGUAAUUC
rnacentral:rRNA from 1 species